rnacentral:rRNA from 1 species
GACGAACGCUGGCGGCGUGCCUAAUACAUGCAAGUUGAACGCUAAAACUUUAACUGGUGCUUGCACCGACCUAAGUUUUUAGAGUAGCGGACGGGUGAGUAACACGUGGGUAACCUGCCCAUCAGAGGGGGAUAACACUUGGAAACAGGUGCUAAUACCGCAUAAUUCCUUUUACCGCAUGGUAAAAGGCUGAAAGGCGCUUCUGGUGUCACUGAUGGAUGGACCCGCGGUGCAUUAGCUAGUCGGUGGGGUAACGGCCUACCGAGGCGAUGAUGCAUAGCCGACCUGAGAGGGUGAUCGGCCACAUUGGGACUGAGACACGGCCCAAACUCCUACGGGAGGCAGCAGUAGGGAAUCUUCCGCAAUGGACGAAAGUCUGACCGAGCAACGCCGCGUGAGUGAAGAAGGUUUUCGGAUCGUAAAACUCUGUUGUAAGGGAAGAACAAGUACAGUAGUAACUGGCUGUACCUUGACGGUACCUUAUUAGAAAGCCACGGCUAACUACGUGCCAGCAGCCGCCGUAAGAC